rnacentral:rRNA from 1 species
GGUUAGCGGCGGACGGGUGAGUAACACGUNNGCAACCUGCCCUCAAGACUGGGAUAACCUCCGGAAACGGAUGCUAAUACCGGAUAUGCGGUUUCUCCUCCUGGAGANNNCGGGAAAGACGGAGCAAUCUGUCACUUGGGGAUGGGCCUGCGGCGCAUUAGCUAGUUGGUGAGGUAACGGCUCACCAAGGCGACGAUGCGUAGCCGACCUGAGAGGGUGAUCGGCCACACUGGGACUGAGACACGGCCCAGACUCCUACGGGAGGCAGCAGUAGGGAAUCUUCCGCAAUGGACGCAAGUCUGACGGAGCAACGCCGCGUGAGUGAGGAAGGCCUUCGGGUCGUAAAGCUCUGUUGCCAGGGAAGAACGGGUGGAAGAGUAACUGCUUCCNNNNUGACGGUACCUGAGAAGAAAGCCCCGGCUAAC